UACGGGGGGGCAAGCGUUGUUCGGAAUUACUGGGCGUAAAGGGUGCGCAGGCGGCCAAGUGUGUGAGGCGAUGAAAGCCUGGAGCUUAACUCCAGAAUUGCACCUCAAAACUACAUGGCUAGAGGCAUUGGAGAGGGUAGCGGAAUUCACGGUGUAGCAGUGAAAUGCGUAGAUAUCGUGAGGAACACCAGAAGGCGAAGGCGGUUCUCUGGGCCUUACCUGACGCUGAGGAGCGAAAGCGUGGGGAGCGAACAGG
rnacentral:rRNA from 1 species